UACGUAGGGGGCAAGCGUUGUCCGGAAUCAUUGGGCGUAAAGAGCGCGUAGGCGGCCCUGUAAGUCCGCUGUGAAAGUCCAGGGCUCAACCCUGGGAUGCCGGUGGAUACUGUCGGGCUCGAGUCCGGAAGAGGAGAUGUGGGAAUUCCCGUGGUAGUCGAGCUGGAUGAAUCGGCAGAAUAUCAGGAGGAACACCAAUGGCGAAGGCAGCA
rnacentral:rRNA from 1 species